UCUUUUAAUGCUGAUUUCAUCGGCACUAGUGUUCUCACGAGAACUGUCCGUUUCGUACCGGGCGUCACUCGCCCCAAAGAGGGGGUCGCGUUUGAUGCGGGUAGCGAGAAGUUCGCCACGGAGGUUAUCGAUUUGGACGAGCCCGCCGCCGUGGAAUAUCCCCAAUCUCCGCUUCCUGUCCUUCCGGCGCAGAGAUUGGAGCAGCUGCCUGCUUUGUAUGACAUUGACAUCGACUUGCUUGGUGGUGCCCAACGGUUGAAUGACAGUCUCGUUGAUUUCUUCCUGGCUCUGGCACGCCGCCACUACUGCACUACGGAUUAUGGAGAAUCAUUUACCUGCUCUUCGUUUCUCUAUAGAAAGUUUAAAAGGUAUCAUCCAAAUGGCGCAUUGCUAAACCAGCUCGUAUUGCAAUGGAUUCUCAUUUUUCAUUUUUUAUUCAGGGCGUUGCAGUCUACCGCCAACGUGGCGGUCGUUCCUCCCAACCUCGACAUGACGGCCGGUACGGAUCAGGGGAUUCUGUUGGAUUUUACUAACGUGCUAAUGCCCGUCUUUGAUGGUGACCAUUGGAUACUCUUUGUCAUUCACACUGCCAAUGUGAGCGGGUAAGUAGGACAAGACUAACGAUUGUUUGUCGUCUAUUGAUCGGGAACUUUUGUUUAUGUUUGAGGUGAUUGGGUGUCUGGUGUUUGAUUCCAUUGCAACGCUUGUACUAUGCGGUAGGGUGAGACUCCUUGUUUUCAACUCUGCUACAUCAGCAAUGGAGCCACGGAGACACAUAAUUGCUACUGUGAAGGCCUACGUACAGCGGGCGAUGCGCAAAGCCAGUGGCGCAGAGGAUUACUGCCGGGACGCAAACGUUUGGGUCGACUAUGCCAAUGUGCCUAGGCAAAGUUCAGGAUCGCUGGAUUGCGGUGCGUAUUUCAUCUAUUACGCAUUUAAAAUUCUUAUGCGUGGACUAACCGCCGUUGUUGGACAACUAGGUAUGGAAUUAAUAACCGAAGUCGACUAUGGCCUUAAGAUUAGGGACCUGCUGAAGGAAAUCGUACAGCUACGCUCAGAACUGGAUAUCCUCUAAAGAAAGGUGAAAGCCAGAAAAUUGGACCACAACUAGCACUGUUUGAAGCCCCAAAAGACCCUGACUUGUUUAAGAAGUGGUAAAAGAAAAUACCAAGGAAAAAAUUUGUGUUAAGGAACAGCUCUUAUGUAUAUGAGC